GGACAAGCCCUGGAAACGGGGUCUAAUACCGGAUACGAGUCUCCUGGGCAUCUGGGAGGCUGGAAAGCUCCGGCGGUGCAGGAUGAGCCCGCGGCCUAUCAGCUUGUUGGUGAGGUAACGGCUCACCAAGGCGACGACGGGUAGCCGGCCUGAGAGGGCGACCGGCCACACUGGGACUGAGACACGGCCCAGACUCCUACGGGAGGCAGCAGUGGGGAAUAUUGCACAAUGGGCGCAAGCCUGAUGCAGCGACGCCGCGUGAGGGAUGACGGCCUUCGGGUUGUAAACCUCUUUCAGCAGGGAAGAAGCGCAAGUGACGGUACCUGCAGAAGAAGCGCCGGCUAACUACGUGCCAGCAGCCGCGGUAAUACGUAGGGCGCAAGCGUUGUCCGGAAUUAUUGGGCGUAAAGAGCUCGUAGGCGGCUUGUCGCGUCGGUUGUGAAAGCCCGGGGCUUAACCCCGGGUCUGCAGUCGAUACGGGCAGGCUAGAGUUCGGUAGGGGAGAUCGGAAUUCCUGGUGUAGCGGUGAAAUGCGCAGAUAUCAGGAGGAACACCGGUGGCGAAGGCGGAUCUCUGGGCCGAUACUGACGCUGAGGAGCGAAAGCGUGGGGAGCGAACAGGAUUAGAUACCCUGGUAGUCCACGCCGUAAACGGUGGGCACUAGGUGUGGGCCACAUUCCACGUGGUCCGUGCCGCAGCUAACGCAUUAAGUGCCCCGCCUGGGGAGUACGGCCGCAAGGCUAAAACUCAA
rnacentral:rRNA from 1 species